GCUUUUCUUUGAUUCACAAGACUUGAUUUUGUUCAGGACCAAUAAUGAAAAGAAGUGACAAUCAAAAUCAAGUCAGAAUUUACAAUAAAAGCUAGUUUGAUUGAAGUUUUCACUGAGGUAUGUGGACAAUUUCCAUUAUCAAAAUCUUUUUGUUUUAGAUAUUGCAAGACCUAGGCUGUUUAUCAAUACGUGUAUAUGAGGGAUUAAUAGAACAAACAUUGUAUUCAGAAUGGAAGAAGGUUAAUGAAAGACCUGCAACAAUUUUGGAUGAUUUUGAAUAUUGCUCCAUAGAGCCGCAUAAUAUUUCAAUAACUUGUUUGGGAUCUUUCCUGUAUGAUUACCAGCAAACAGUGACAGCUUCAGCAAAUAUAUGUAACUAGUUAUUGUAAUUCCUCAGAUCUUAAUUUAUUCACUAUACAAUAGUUAUUUCUGUGUAAUAGAGUUAUGUAAAAAUGUUUUUAUUAAAAAAAAGUUUUAUUUGGAAAUUCACAAACUUGAAAUAAAUACAAAUUAUUAUUUA